AUUGAACGCUGGCGGCAGGCCUAACACAUGCAAGUCGAGCGAGCGGCGGGCGGGUGAGACAUGUAUGGGGACUGCCCGCUAGAGGGGGAUAACUACUGGAAACGGUAGCUAAUACCGCAUACUAUCGGAUAACCCAUAUGGGAUUAGCUAGUAGGUGGGGUAAUGGCUCACCUCGGCGACGAUCGCUAGCUGGACGGAGAGGAUGAUAAGCCACACGGGGACGGAGACAGGGCCCAGACUCCUACGGAGGCAGCAGUGGGGAAUAUUGCACAAUGGGCGCAAGCCUGAUACAGCCAGGCCGCGUGUAUGAAGAAGGCCCUAGGGGUGUAAAGUACUUUCAGUCGGGAGGCGGUACCGACAGAAGAAGCACCGGCUAACUCCGUGCCAGCCGCCGCGGUAAUAC
rnacentral:rRNA from 1 species